UACGAAGGGGACUAGCGUUGUUCGGAAUCACUGGGCGUAAAGGGUGCGCAGGCGGCCAAGUGUGUCAGGUGUGAAAUCCCGAGCUUAACCUCGGAACUGCGCCUGAAACUACUUGGCUAGAGUACUGGAGAGGGUAACGGAAUUCACGGUGUAGCAGUGAAAUGCGUAGAUAUCGUGAGGAACACCAGAGGCGAAGGCGGUUACCUGGACA
rnacentral:rRNA from 1 species